AGAGAGAAAAAGGCUGUAGGCUUUAUUGAGCAGAUUGAAAGGACAAAGCUUCCACAGUGUGGAAGGGGUCCCGAGCGGGUAGCCAGAGUUAGAUUAUGUGACUGCCUUUUAAACUCUUUAAGGCCGGAAAUACGUGUGGCGAGAUGUUACCAGAGCGAGAAACAAAGGCAAUUAACCGUUUGUAACAUGUCUUAGAUCUUGAGGAAAACUGGAAUUGCAACUUAGGUUUUAUCUACUUUAUGAACUUGCAGCAGCAUGGCAAAGGAGACGGGAUCUUACAGGACUUUGUUACAAAGACCGAAGUAAGUCCUGAUGCAGGAAAUGAGU
rnacentral:lncRNA from 10 species